rnacentral:rRNA from 1 species
UACAGAGGUCUCAAGCGUUGUUCGGAUUCAUUGGGCGUAAAGGGUGCGUAGGUGGUGAUGCAAGUCUGGUGUGAAAUCUCGGAGCUCAACUCCGAAAUUGCACCGGAUACUGCGUGACUCGAGGACUGUAGAGGAGAUCGGAAUUCACGGUGUAGCAGUGAAAUGCGUAGAUAUCGUGAGGAAGACCAGUUGCGAAGGCGGGUCUCUGGACAGUUCCUGACGCUGAGGCACGAAGGUCAGGGGAGCAAACGGG